AUGAGUUUUUUGAUGAAACCAUGCAUGUUUUUUGCUGGAACCAAAUCAAUGUCUUUUGCUGGAAACACAUCAUUUUUGCUGGAAACACAUUAUUGUUUGUUGGAACCAUAUCAAUUAUUUGCUGGAACCAUGUGUUUUGCUUUUCAAACUGGCGUUGCUAUUUUUGGUUGCAACCGACGAGCGGCGACCCCGAUGGCGACGGCGAGUAUCAAGCGGCGGGGAGCCGGCGGGGCUUCGAGGUCGCGCGGGCAAGGUUCGAUGGCGUUUGUUGUGUUUUUCUUUUCUGUGCAUGCGAGGCGAAAGGACCAAAGGAAAAAGAAAAAAAAGACAAGAUCUGAUGGUUUGCGGCUUUUAGAUCGGGUGGCUAGCAGCCAACCGGCUAAAAGGUUGGGCCGGCCUGCCGGCGCCUAG
rnacentral:rRNA from 1 species